rnacentral:lncRNA from 1 species
CUGGAAAAGCCGCCCCCUUCAAUUGCCGGGGUGAUAGGACCGCGCCGAGGGCCGUGCUCCCCGCCGAGGGCCGUGCUCCCCGCAGGAGGCGGUGGACGGACAUCCUCUCAUUUUAUCCGCUCGACCCUCGGAAGACGAAUCGGGUUCGGAGACGGAGCUGCUUUCCCCAAGGUCGCAGCGCGGGUGCCGGGCGGAGCCGGGGAUCCCGCCGAGCUCGGCCAGGCGUCCCGGCCGGUCUGGGCGUCCAGCCGCGCCGCCCGGGAGCCCCCGCGGCGCCCCCCACCGCCCCAUUGCUGUGCCCCGCAGCCGCCCGAGGAGGGGUGGAGGACGGGGGCGGAGGAGGGGCGGAGGCGGCGGGGACCGCUGGGGCGGGGGGGGGCCGCGGCCCGGAGCGGCCUGGAGGCCUGCGCGGGGGGGAGGGGGAGGGGGAGGCGCGUCGCGGCGCCGGAAGCCGCCUCCAUUCCCGGCCGACUGCCCUCCGGCCCCGCCCCGCCCCGGCCCCGCCCCCGGCCCCGCCCCGGCCCCGCCCCCGGCCCCGCCCCGCGCCAUAUUUGGCGCUUCCUCCCCGGCGCUACGAGGCGCUUCCUCCCUGCCCGAGGCCCAUACAAGGCGCUUCCUUCCCGGCCGUCUGGCCGGCGGCCCGCGGGCGGCUGUGGGCGGGAGCCGGCGGCCGGGGACCCGCUGCCAAGGAGGGGGCGGCCGGCGGCGCUGGGAACGCGCCUGGCUGAGGAACCGGCAAGUCCUAACAGGCCCUCCCUGCAGCACUUCCAGGGACUUAAACCUGGCCCAGCCAUGUGGUUACCCUGAUCUAUCUGCCUGGAGAUGAGCAAAGGUCAGAGAGAGGGACCAGACCUCAGCAGACCACACCACCAGCAACUCCCGAACCCCCACCCCCCAGCUCUUCCAGAAGUGCAACACCUCAGCAUACAGGCUGUCUGCUGGACCAACCGGUGAGCCCCUGAUUGUUCUGCCUCAGGUGAGGCAGGGAAAGAAAAGCUCAGAGGUUGAACUGAGUCACAGAAUAUGCCCAGGAAAGGGCUUCUAGUGCCAAGCAGCUUUGGCCUUGAUUCCUCACAGGCUUCCAGUUUUUUGGUUAUGCACGUGUGUAUACAAGCACAUGAGUGCAGGCACAUGCACGCACGCGUACACACACGUGCCUGCACUCUCUCUCUCUCACCCUCUCCCUCUCUCUGUCUCUCUGUCUCUCUCUCUCUCUCUGAAUAAGGCUAAACGAUAAUGAGCUUUGUUGGUCUCCCUGACUCCAGGUAGGCUGUGCCUGUGUACUGGAUGCAGGCAGAAGAGAUGAUUUCCAAGGUCCAGGACUGAGGGUUUAGAGGUUAGAUUUUGAUGGAAAAAAAAACUGGGUUUCAGGGCCUGGGCUGCAUACCCAGGGCCUAGAUGCCUCUGGCCUUGUUUUCCCAUGUAAGGCUGCAGGCCCCCAGCAGCCUCCUCUUCCGAGCUGUUGUCUAGGAUUAUGGGUAAUGUAGUCCAGAGGCCAGCUUCUCUGUGGUACUGGUUCCUGCCCUCCCCUCAUCUCCUUCCCCCCUGCCAGCCACCACCCCCUUCUGCUCCAAGCUGAGGGCAGCGCAGGGUGAGAAGGCGGUGCUUGCUCCUUGCAGGGCUGGGAGAUCCCCUGCUGGAAACCAGCAAGCUAUUUAUAGCUGAGCCUAGCCGUGGGGGAAGGCCUGAGAGAAGCCAGGGAGCUCCAGCAGCCGCCUCUCCAGCUACAGGAUUUGCAGGAACCCCAGGCCUCUGCUGGGCAGGCCUUGUGUUCUAUUCUGGGUGAAAAGGCGUGGAGCCUCAGAAAGCCCUAUAAAAGCAGUAGGGGUCCUGGGUUGCUCCCUGCUUUGUCUGAGAGAGGUAGGUUACUACGGUGGCUCUAGGGCCUGGCUUUUCAGCCUUUCUAAGGUGAAUAUUUGGAAUUUGAGAAUUGAUAAGCUGAGACUUUUUGCAGAAAAAGCCAGCGUGACAUGCAAUAUGAUGGUUGCCUGGUAUUUUUAUGCAUUUUUGUUCUCAUUGUUUUUCUCUGCUUGUUUUCUCAGCCAAGUUGUAUUAUCUUGAAGGGCAGGAACAGGGUCACCUGGGUGGCUCAGUGGUUUAGUGCCUGCCCUCGGCCCAGGGUGUGAUCCUGGAAUCCCACAUCGGGCUCCCUGCUUGGAGCCUGCUUCUCCCUCUCUGUGUGUCUCUCAUGAAUAAAUAAAAUCUUAAAAAAAAAGAAAAAAGAAAAAAGGACAGGAACUAAACUCCGCCCCCCCGCCCCGCCCCCCUUCAUGCUGUAACAAGUGAUCUUGCCAAAAGAAAAACCAAACCCUCCCUUACCAAAACUGGGUUGGGUGUGCUUUUUAUUCCCCCGACCACCCAAUCCUUCUCUCAGUGUCCUGUGUUCUCAUCAAAGCAUCGGAGUUUUACUUGACUAGGUCUCUCACUAGUUUGGUACUCCUUGUUGACAUGGAUGGUGUCUGUCUUGUUGACUAUGAUAGUCCUAACAUCAUGAACAAUUGUUGGAUGAAUGUGAAUGAAUGAAAAUGAAUCUAUGAUAGCCAGUACUGUUUGUGGAGUACUUAAUACAUGCUUUCACCAAGAUCUUUGUUAAGUGGUAGAGCUGUGAUAGGAACUGGUGUCUAACUUAGGAGUAGGGCUUAACCGUGGUAAGUGGCUGCCUUUAUGCUGGCACCCAGUAGGUACAUCUGGCUUCCAGACAGCUGAUGGAUGAGACUGUUAGAUGAGGUGGGCAGGCAUGGUUGAACUGGCCUUGCCCCAUGACACAGCUAGUGCAGCCAGCCGGGAGAGCUGCCAAGGAAUUCUUCUAAGAAACUUAGUGACAAAGACCUGCUCUGAUCUGCCAGAAGGGAAGUCCUGAGGCAGCAGCCAUGGGGGUUGGAGAUAGCAGACAGGCUCUGGAGGCUGAGCAGUGGUGUUUGGGGGGCUCCUCAGAUGUUACCAGGGACCUCUUGUUUCUGAAUCCAGUAGAUUUUUUUUUUUUUUUUUAGUCCUCAUCUUCCUUCAGUAAUUUUCAGCAGCAUUUGACCUGUACAUGAUCAUCUCUUCUUUUUUU